rnacentral:rRNA from 1 species
GUUUACGUUCACGCAGGCAGAUUCAUUUUCUGCCACCGAAUACAUUAGCAUGGGAUAAUGGAAUAGGACCCUGUCCUCCUUUUUUCAGUUGGUUAAUUCAUGAGAGAGGAACAGGGUAAUGAUUAAUAGGGAUAGUUGGGGGCAUUAAUAUUUAAUUGUCAGAGGUGAAAUUCUUGGAUUUAUGAAAGAUUAACUUCUGCGAAAGCAUCUGCCAAGGAUGUUUUCAUUAAUCAAGAACGAAAGUUAGGGGAUCGAAGACGAUCAGAUACCGUCGUAGUCUUAACCAUAAACGAUGCCGACCAGCGAUUAGGAGACGUUGAAUACAAAACACCUCUAUAUAUAAUUCAGUAUAUGGCUAGCAAUGGCUGUAUAUUGUUUGUGUAUAGUUACGGUGAAUGACUCCCCUAGCAGCUUGUGAG